CUAGCCAUAAACCUAGAUAGUUACAUAACAAAACUAUUCGCCAGAGAACUACUAGCAAUAGCUUAAAACUCAAAGGACUUGGCGGUACUUUAUAUCCAU
rnacentral:rRNA from 1 species